CUAGGGUCAGCGGGCCUUGGUGUUCGGGAAACCGGUGUGAAACCGGUGCGGCCCUCGCCACUGUGAUCGGGGAAGUCCGGCUCCACUCUCCCCCUGCCUCCGUCGGGGGGACCCCAGCGGGAAGCCACUGGGACACCGUGCGGGAUACCGCACGGCCCCGGGAAGGCGGAGCCCGGGCAUCAUCACCCGUGAGCCAGGAGACCGGCCGGGGCGCGUUGUCCAUC
rnacentral:ncRNA from 1 species